ensembl:lncRNA
CUCUGUUGUUUAUCUCAAUUUCCCUGGGAGAAGUUUACAGUGCCUCUGGUUUACUUCCUUAAGGACUUAUGGCCUCACGAAAUAGCUUAUUUCAGUUCUGAAUUUAUUUGUUUUAGGGGCAUAUUUAGAAUAGGAUUAUGAGGGUCUGAAAUACAUUGCUGUCGUCUUUAUUUUCUGUUCAAUCCAUGCAAGUCUGACUCAGAAGUCUUAACUGAAUUGUAAAAUGAAUAAAAUUGUGAUAUUUAAUCUUUCCCAUCUUUUGUUCAGUGUCUUCAUUGAUCCUUUAAGAGAUGAAGCAAAGAAAUACUUUCUGAGGCUGAUGUCUCUACCAAUAAGAGGCCUCAAACUUAACAUUUCCAAAACUUCCUGUGUCUCACAUAAAAGGAGAAGAAUAAUCUGUGGGUCUUCCCCAUUCUUUUCCAGGCUUUCUACUGUCCCUGGUUAGUGUUCAGAUUCUACAAAGAAGGGAUUCACUCCAAAGCAGGCAAAAAGAAGACUCUUUCAGAAGCGCAGGACUUUGGGUCACAGGCUCAGGAUUCAGAGCAGCUGGUGCACAGAAACCACGUGUGAUCCCACAGCAAGAAUGAGAUCCACAGAUGGACCCAUGGCUGAGCCUAUCAGCCCAGGAACAGGAAGCAUCUUCUUCCCCAGAGAAUGGUGGCUUUCUACCCGGGCACACAAACAGGAUGGAGCUUCCCAGGUGGAACUACUGGUCCUCAUCGCUGCCUGCAGAUUUUCUCCAUUUGUGGAAAGCGGGGCCCACUCUCUCAUUGUGGUACAUGGACUUCUCAUCGCGGUGGCUUCUGUUGUUGCAGAGCACAGGCUCUAGGCUUCACGGGCUUCAGUAGCUGUGGCACACAGGCUUAGUUACCCCUCAGCAUGUGGAAUCUUCCAGGACCAGGGAUCAAACCAGUGUCCCUGCACUGGCAGACAGAUUCAUAACCACUGGACCAGCAGGGAAGUCCUGAAAGUCCCUCUUUAUUGUCUGGCUGACCCAGUGGGGACUGGCAGCCCCGAAAGUUGAGGUGUGGGAGGAGGAAGCCCUAACAGUGAAGAGGUGAACUGUUCUUCUGCAGGCCAGUUGGUUAGGAUGCUCAGAACCAUGCCUCCUGGGAGAGGAACCAGAAGAUGCUCUGCCCCUUCAGUUGAAGGACGGGAGGUAGGGUUUGGAGAAGUCCAAUGCAAAUCCUGCUUUCAUAUGGAGUUGCAUCCCUUUUAGAGCAGUGGGGUUUUGUUACUGUUCUUCUCUGAAGCACCUGAGGCAGAAAAAUAUUAAGAAAAAAAAGAACGUAUUAUUUAAAAUAUAAUAUCUGGUCAUUUCUUGCUUGUUCAAGGGAUGCUGAUGGAUAGAAUAUCCUUCAGGGGAAUGCUAUGGAGUGUGAAAUUGGGAAAAAAUCCUGAUAUGGUAGGAAAAUGCACUGGGAGGCAGGAGGCAAGGUGGCCCCUCUAUACGGUGGGCUUCUGCUGGUUCCUUGCUUCCUGUGUUUUACUCACCAAAUUUCUUCUUCACAUCUUAUGUUGCUAUGAUGUAGUGGUCAUUCCCUGAUCCUCUAUCACAUUCCACA